rnacentral:rRNA from 1 species
UUAAGUUAAUAAGGGCGCACGGUGGAUGCCUUGGCACUAGAAGCCGAUGAAGGACGUGACUAACGACGAAAUGCUUUGGGGAGCUGUAAGUGAGCAAUGAUCCAGAGAUGUCCGAAUGGGGGAACCCGGCAGGUAAUGCCUGUCACUCAUUACUGUUAAGGUAAUGUAGAGGAAGACGCAGUGAACUGAAACAUCUAAGUAGCUGCAGGAAGAGAAAGCAAAAGCGAUUGCCUUAGUAGCGGCGAGCGAAACGGCAAGAGGGCAAACCGAAGAGUUUACUCUUCGGGGUUGUAGGACUGCAACGUGGACUUAAAGAUUAUAGAAGAACUACCUGGGAAGGUAGGCCAAAGAGAGUAAUAGCCUCGUAUUCGAAAUAGUCUUUAUACCUAGCAGUAUCCUGAGUACGGCGAGACACGAGAAAUCUCGUCGGAAUCUGGGAGGACCAUCUCCCAACCCUAAAUACUCUCUAGUGACCGAUAGUGAACCAGUACCGUGAGGGAAAGGUGAAAAGCACCCCGGGAGGGGAGUGAAAUAGAACCUGAAACCGUGUGCCUACAACAAGUUCGAGCCCGUUAAUGGGUGAGAGCGUGCCUUUUGUAGAAUGAACCGGCGAGUUACGAUAUGAUGCGAGGUUAAGUUGAAGAGACGGAGCCGUAGGGAAACCGAGUCUUAAUAGGGCGCAUUAGUAUCAUGUCGUAGACCCGAAACCAUGUGACCUACCCAUGAGCAGGUUGAAGGUGAGGUAAAACUCACUGGAGGACCGAACCAGGGCACGUUGAAAAGUGCUUGGAUGACUUGUGGGUAGCGGAGAAAUUCCAAACGAACUUGGAGAUAGCUGGUUCUCUCCGAAAUAGCUUUAGGGCUAGCGUCGAUGUUAAGUCUCUUGGAGGUAGAGCACUGUUUGGGUGAGGGGUCCAUCCCGGAUUACCAAUCUCAGAUAAACUCCGAAUGCCAACGAGAUAUAAUCGGCAGUCAGACUGCGAGUGCUAAGAUCCGUAGUCGAAAGGGAAACAGCCCAGACCACCAGCUAAGGUCCCAAAAUAAUUGUUAAGUGGAAAAGGAUGUGGGGUUGCACAGACAACUAGGAUGUUAGCUUGGAAGCAGCUAUUCAUUCAAAGAGUGCGUAAUAGCUCACUAGUCGAGUGACCCUGCGCCGAAAAUGUACCGGGGCUAAAACAUAUUACCGAAGCUGUGGAUACCUUUAUAGGUAUGGUAGGAGAGCGUUCUAUGUGCGAAGAAGGUGUACCGUGAGGAGUGCUGGAGCGCAUAGAAGUGAGAAUGCCGGUAUGAGUAGCGAAAGACAGGUGAGAAUCCUGUCCACCGUAAGACUAAGGUUUCCAGGGGAAGGCUCGUCCGCCCUGGGUUAGUCGGGACCUAAGGAGAGACCGAAAGGUGUAUCCGAUGGACAACAGGUUGAUAUUCCUGUACUAGAGUAUAUAGUGAUGGAGGGACGCAGUAGGCUAACUAAACCAGACGAUUGGAAGUGUCUGGCCAAGCAGUGAGGUGUGAUAUGAGUUAAAUGCUUAUAUCUAUAACAUUGAGCUGUGAUGGGGAGCGAAGUUUAGUAGCGAAGUUAGUGAUGUCACACUGCCGAGAAAAGCUUCUAGCGUUAAUUAUACUCUACCCGUACCGCAAACCGACACAGGUAGUCGAGGCGAGUAGCCUCAGGUGAGCGAGAGAACUCUCGUUAAGGAACUCGGCAAAAUGGCCCCGUAACUUCGGGAGAAGGGGCGCUGACUUAUGGUCAGCCGCAGUGAAUAGGCCCAAGCAACUGUUUAUCAAAAACACAGCUCUCUGCUAAAUCGAAAGAUGACGUAUAGGGGGUGACGCCUGCCCGGUGCUGGAAGGUUAAGAGGAGUGCUUAGCAAUAGCGAAGGUAUGAAUUGAAGCCCCAGUAAACGGCGGCCGUAACUAUAACGGUCCUAAGGUAGCGAAAUUCCUUGUCGGGUAAGUUCC